rnacentral:lncRNA from 1 species
UUUGCAGCUAGAGUUUUGGAUUAACAGACCGCAUCUAGUUCUUUCUUCCCCCCAAGUCCCAUUUUCCUUCUCCUGUUCUUCCGUCCCAGCCCCCUCAGACCUUCAGCACUCGGAUUAGAUUUUUGUUAUGCCAGCCAGCAAUGAACAGAGGACCCUUGGCUUUGGCUACAUCUCUAUGUAUUUGCUGAAGACCCCUCAUCAUUGCCUCUGCUAAGAAUGGAAACAAAUCUCUCAGAUGUUGGAUUUCCCAUGAGAGGGAAAUUCUCUGUCUGACCAGCACUGAAUCUUACCUCUCAAAUUGCACAGAGGAUAACUACAGUUCGUAGCAUCAUGAGAAGAAGACGUUUCAGUUUCAACUUCAGUUGGUGCCAAGAGUUGCUGCUGCUGUUGUACAUUAUUCAGGACCUAGUUGUGUCGGCGGGAGAGGAGAUCCCAUCCCCCUGCCCCUCUGCACUGCUUUGGCACCGCAAACCGCCGCCUGAGGCAAACCCAGAACGUCCUUGUUAACCAGCUCCUUCGGCUCUAGCGCACAGCAUCCACCGCAGCUGCUCGCGUAAGUGCCUGGGGUGGCCACGGUGGCAAGAUCGCGGUUGGCUGCCGGUGCCCUACGUCCGUCGGCGGCCAACCGCGCACGCUGGCGAAGAGCGC